rnacentral:rRNA from 1 species
UGGAUCUUAGUGGCGAACGGGUGAGUAACGCGUAGGCAAUCUGCCUUCUAGAUGGGGACAACAUCCCGAAAGGGGUGCUAAUACCGAAUGUUGUAGUUGGUUCGCAUGGACUAGCUACUAAAGGUGGCCUCUGAAUAUGCUACCGCUAGAAGAUGAGCCUGCGUCUGAUUAGCUAGUUGGAGGGGUAACGGCCCACCAAGGCUUCGAUCAGUAGCCGGUCUGAGAGGAUGAACGGCCACACUGGGACUGAGACACGGCCCAGACUCCUACGGGAGGCAGCAGUGGGGAAUCUUCCGCAAUGGACGAAAGUCUGACGGAGCAACGCCGCGUGAGUGAAGAAGGUUUUCGGAUCGUAAAGCUCUUUCGUUAGGGACGAACGUGCUCUUUGUGAAUAAUGAGGAGUAAUGACGGUACCUAAAUAAG